rnacentral:rRNA from 1 species
AACGAACGCUGGCGGCAUGCCUAACACAUGCAAGUCGAACGAGACCUUCGGGUCUAGUGGCGCACGGGUGCGUAACGCGUGGGAACCUGCCCUUAGGUUCGGAAUAACUCCCCGAAAGGGGUGCUAAUACCGGAUAAUGUCUUCGGACCAAAGAUUUAUCGCCUUUGGAUGGGCCCGCGUUGGAUUAGCUAGUUGGUAGGGUAAAAGCUUACCAAGGCGACGAUCCAUAGCUGGUCUGAGAGGAUGAUCAGCCACACUGGGACUGAGACACGGCCCAGACUCCUACGGGAGGCAGCAGUGGGGAAUAUUGGACAAUGGGCGAAAGCCUGAUCCAGCAAUGCCGCGUGAGUGAUGAAGGCCUUAGGGUUGUAAGGCUCUUUUACCCGGGAUGAUAAUGACAGUACCGGGAGAAUAAGCUCCGGCUAACUCCGUG